rnacentral:lncRNA from 1 species
AUUCCUUAUCACCCCUCUGUGUGCUAUGUGUGCAUUAUUAUUUUGUAGCUGGGAAACCAAGGCAGAGGAGUCAAGCUACUCAUCCAAAACCACAGCUGGGCCAUGGCAGAGCAAAGAUUAGCAUUCAAGAGUUGUUGGCUCCAAGGCCUGGGCCCAAGCUCGUUAGACCACACGUCCCCUCUGAAGAAUCCAGACAUCAUGCUUCUAAAAUGCAGUCACUUGUAUGUGAGCAUAGUGUCUGAAAAUACAAGUCAAUGGGCUCCCUUUCAUGGUUCAAACCUAAAGCAUCCUGGUCUUCCUAUUUCUCUGCUGGAGCUGGAUAACCCUGUUGAAGAAAGGGAACCCUGUCGGAGUCAGGGCAGGUUCUAUGCAUUGUACCUUAACUGAAUGGAGGAGGAUAGUGCUGUGAUGAAGGCAUGGAACUGAAGUUUGAGGAACUGUGGGUCACUUCCCAGCUCUGCUACAGGCUUUCUGUGUGACCCUGGACACGUCAUUUAAUUUCUCUGUGUUUCAGUUUCCCAUCUGGGGAUAAUACUUCCAUUCUCCUACCCUUAGUCUGGCUCAUCCAUUUACUUUCUAAGCAUUUCAGCGCAGGCACCAUGUCUUAUCAUUUGUUUGCCCAGUGCUUGUCACAAUAGGGGCCUGAUCUCUGUUCGAGCCCCUAGAUGUUACUGUAAUAUACAUAAUUAAUAAUACCAAUAUGGAGAUUGUGCUUAGUUGAAUUACAAAACAAAAACAUAUAUAUGGACUUUGCCCCUUAUUACACCUUUCAAAAGUAUAAUGACAACCUCAGCCACUUCUUUUGCCUUCAGAUAUCAGAUCCUAACUUCCUUCUUUUCCUUGGAGAGCAAGGUUGGGAGAGUUUUGGAGAACAUUACCGAGGAGGGCUGAGAACCUUAGCUGUGCGUGUCCCUGCCUGAGACUCAAGACUAAACAUCUCCUCUCUUCUUGGAGGAGAGCCGCAACUCACGGUCCAACUUUCAGAUGUGAUGUCAUAUUCCAGGUCCUCCAAAGUUUGCCAAAGUCCUCCACAAGGAAGAGGGAAGUUACAACCCAAUAAUGCAAACAAAAUAAAUACAUAUUUUAUCCUGUGUUUUUGACA